rnacentral:rRNA from 1 species
UGAUAGAUAGCUGGUCUAAGAGGAUGAACAGCCACAAUGGGAUUGAGAUACGGCCCAUAUUCCUACGGGAAGCAGCAGUAGGGAAUCUUCCACAAUGGGCGAAAGCCUGAUGGAGCGAUGCCAUGUGAAUGAUGAAGGUCUUUUUGAUUGUAAAAUUCUUUUAGAGGGGAAAAUAAUGAUGGUACCCUCUGAAUAAGUGACAGCAAACUAUGUGCCAGCAGCUGCGGUAAUACAUAGGUCGCGAGCGUUAUUCGGAUUUAUUGGGCGUAAAGCAAGCGCAGGCGGAUAAGCAAGUUCUAUGUUAAAAGCAGUUGCUCAACAAUUGUUUGCGUCGAAUACUGUUUAUCUAGAAUACGGUAGGAAGUUUUGGAAUUGAAUAUGGAGCGGUGGAAUGUGUAGAUAUAUUCAAGAACACCAGAGGCGAAGGCGAAAACUUAGGCCGUUAUUGACGCUUAGGCUUGAAAGUGUGGGGAGCAAAUGGGAUUAGAUACCCCAGUAGUCCACACCGUAAACGAUGGAUAUUAGAUGUUGGGACUUGAGUCUCAGCGUUGUAGCUUACGUGUUAAAUAUCCCGCCUGGGUAGUACAUAUGCAAAUAUGAAACUCAAAGGAAUUGACGGGGACCUGAACAAGUGGUGGAACAUGUUGCUUAAUUCGAUAAUACACGAAAAACCUUACCAAGGUUUGACAUCCCUCGCAAAACCCUAGAAAUAGGGCGGAGGUUAUCGAGGUGACAGGUGGUGCAUGGUUGUCGUCAGCUCGUGUCGUGAGAUGUUUGGUUAAGUCCCGCAACGAGCGCAACCCUAUCUUUUAGUUAAAUGUCUAGAGGAACUGAACAGUAAUGUAUAGGAAGGGUGGGAUCACGUCAAAUCAUCAUGCCCCUUAUAUCUUGGGCCGCAAACGUGUUACAAUGGCGAGUACAGCGUGUCGCAAGCAAGCGAUUGUAAGCUAAUCACUAAAAACUCGUCUCAGUCCGAAUAAAAGGCUGCAAUUCGCCUUUUUGAAGUUGGAAUCACUAGUAAUCCCGUGUCAGCUAUAUCGGGGUGAAUACGUUCCCAGGUCUUG